rfam:Sus scrofa isolate TJ Tabasco breed Duroc chromosome 4, whole genome shotgun sequence.
UUCCUGGUGGUCUAGUAGUUAGGAUUCAGCACUUUUACUGCUGUGGCUGGGGUUCAAUCCCUGGUCUGGGAA